GGUCCGCGCUACAACAAGGAAGUACCUGAACCGCGAUGAGCGCACAAGAUAUUAAGUUAUGACAGUUUAUGAUAACAAAAUGUAAAAAUAGAUCAGCUGAUUUCACAGGUUGCAACAGCUGUUCAUGGACUUUUAUCGAUGUGACGAUGUGGGGAUAUCUUUUUACCGGAAAUGAACGUGUGGACAUCUGGCAAUGGCUUGGGAGCGUUCGUUUCAAAAUAUUUCUGAAAAGAGGAUAUUUAUGAGGCUUUAUAGUGCUUGAGAUCCACAUUGAUCUAGUCACGUCAAUCCCUGUCUCCUGCUGCUCCCAUACAUCAGCUCCUAGGGGUUUUGACCAUCAGGAUGGAUGGGGUGGAGACUGUCGGAGAGCACUUUGGGGAUUUCUGGAAAAACCUUGAAAUGCUGUGCGGUCAAUGAGAGAAGCAACAGCAGCAGCUAUCAUUCAGUUCACACGGCCUUUGAGAAAAAAAAAAA